AUUGCUUCUCGGCCUUUUGGCUAAGAUCAUGUGUAGUUUUGUACAGUUGCCUCAUUUACACCUAAAUCUAUAUCUUAAUCUUGACCCAAAUUCUAUUUGAAGGACAGGAUUCAGGCUCCUAAGCAUAAGCAUAUACUGCCAUUUUGGAUGCUGGAUAUCCUUU
rnacentral:snRNA from 1 species